rnacentral:rRNA from 1 species
AACGAACGCUGGCGGCAUGCCUAACACAUGCAAGUCGAACGAGACCUUCGGGUCUAGUGGCGCACGGGUGCGUAACGCGUGGGAACCUGCCCUUAGGUUCGGAAUAACUCCCCGAAAGGGGUGCUAAUACCGGAUAAUGUCUUCGGACCAAAGAUUUAUCGCCUUUGGAUGGGCCCGCGUUGGAUUAGCUAGUUGGUAGGGUAAAAGCCUACCAAGGCGACGAUCCAUAGCUGGUCUGAGAGGAUGAUCAGCCACACUGGGACUGGGACACGGCCCAGACUCCACCGGAAGGAAGCAGUGGGAAAUAUUGGAAAAGGGGGGAAGGCUUGUCCCGCAAAUGCGGGGGGAGUAAUGAAGGCUUUAGGUUUGUAAAGCUCUUUUCCCCGGAUGAAUAAUGAAAGAACGGGAAGAAUAAGUCCCGGCUAACUCCGU